AAACCUCCCCCCCCCCGGCAAAAUGGCUGGGGCUUUCAGCAGUGCUGCAGACCGCUCACUGGCUUCCACUAGCUUUUUGUAACCAUGGCAACAACCAACAGACUGAGCCACCAAGCAUGGUUGAUCAUGUGCAGCCCUCCUCCCCACACGGGUGGUUAAUUGCUGUCUGUCCUCUGGUUAUGAUGAGAAGGGUGCUGAAAAAUUGUGAAGUCCAACAACUUGAAAUAGAGUUAUGCACAAAAUUAUGGAGCCACUAUACCUCCACAAGAGGACUACCACCCUUCUGCUUUGUAGAGGAACACAAACAAAAAAAUAACCCUGCCCUUGCCUUGAGGAGCAUACUGUCUAAAUGUCAGCAACAGCUUGGAAUCCAGCAAAAAUGCAGCCAGGCUCCUGAUGACAGCUGUUAGGAGAUGGCAUGCCUUUUGGCUGGCAUCUAGCUGUGCCCACCCCUGGGAGACAGGGACACAGUCAGAACAAUCCAUUGUUUGGUCAUUCCACAUGGGACUCUGAAGACAAUCGAACUCUGAACAAGUCCUUGAGGACAAUUUAGAUAUUUCAGUAUGUCAAAAAUAUAGCAGCAUUUAAGGUCAAGUAUAUGAACUAUAUUAUGCAAUUGUUAAGAGACUUUUCUUGAUUGUGUUGGUACUAGUAAAGAGUACUAGUAAGCAGCUUUUAAAGCACUCGAUGGUUUACGCCCCAGAACAAUAGUUCCUAUUUUGGGUCCUCAGGUGUUGUCAGAGUAU
rnacentral:lncRNA from 1 species